UCAAACCGACCAGAGAUAUUCGGAGUGUUUCGGAAAGCAAGAAUGCUGAGAAAAAUUUAGAAGUGGAGAAGCCAAUAGGGGAAACCAAGAAUGUUAACGAUGUUUUAGAGGAAGAAAAGAAAAUGGCAGAUAAGAGAAAUAUGAAACCUGUGGUGAGCAGCAUUGUGGAAGACGAGCAAAAGCCUGUGAUAAUCAGAGAGGAACCAGUACAGCAAGGAAGGAGAACCGAGGAUACCAUCAGUGACUUAGAUUUUCAGUUGAUUAAAGAGAAGGAAACUGUGGUAUCCUCAAAUUCAGAUGCAGG
rnacentral:lncRNA from 1 species